rnacentral:rRNA from 1 species
AUUGAACGCUGGCGGCAGGCCUAACACAUGCAAGUCGAACGAGUGGCGGACGGGUGAGUAAUGUCUGGGAAACUGCCCGAUGGAGGGGGAUCACUACUGGAAACGGUAGCUAAUACCGCAUACCAUCGGAUGUGCCCAGAUGGGAUUAGCUCGUAGGUGGGGUAAAGGCUCACCUAGGCGACGAUCCCUAGCUGGUCUGAGAGGAUGACCAGCCACACUGGAGCUGAGACACGGGCCAGACUCCUACGGGAGGCAGCAGUGGGGAAUAUUGGACAAUGGGCGCAAGCCUGAUGCAGCCAUGCCGCGUUUAUGAAGAAGGCCUUCGGGUUGUAAAGUACUUUCAGCGGGGAGGCGUUACUCGCAGAAGAAGCACCGGCUAACUCCGUGCCAGCAGCCGCGGUAAUAC